GAUGAACGCUGGCGGUAUGCUUAACACAUGCAAGUCGAACGGUCACUUCGGUGAUAGUGGCGGACGGGUGAGUAACGCGUGAGAAUCUGUCUUCAGGUCGGGGACAACAGUUAGAAAUGACUGCUAAUACCGGAUGUGCCUUUGGGUGAAAGAUUUAUUGCCUGAAAAAGAGCUCGCGUCAGAUUAGCUAGUAGGUGGUGUAAGAGACUACCUAGGCUCCGAUCUGUAGCUGGUCUGAGAGGACGAUCAGCCACACUGGAACUGAGACACAGUCCAGACUCCUACGGGAGGCAGCAGUGGGGAAUUUUCCGCAAUGGGCGAGAGCCUGACGGAGCAAUACCGCGUGAGGGACGAAGGCUUUUGGGUCGUAAACCUCUUUUCUCAAGGAAGAUGAUGACGGUACUUGAGGAAUAAGCAGCGGCUAACUCUGUG
rnacentral:rRNA from 1 species